rnacentral:tRNA from 1 species
GAGGGUGUAGCUCAGUGGAAGAGCCCAUGCUUAGCAUGCAUGAGGUCUGGGGUUCAAUCCCCAGUACCUCCU